rnacentral:rRNA from 1 species
UACGGAGGGUGCGAGCGUUGUCCGGAUUUAUUGGGUUUAAAGGGUGCGUAGGUGGCUUUUAAGUCAGUGGUGAAAUACAGCCGCUCAACGGUUGAGGUGCAUUGAUACUGAAGAGCUUGAAACAAGUGAGCUGCCGGAAUGAUGGUGUAGCGGUGAAAUGCAUAGAUAUCAUCCAGAACACGAUGCGAGCAGUGCUACGUUGAUUGACACUGAGGCACGAAGCAUGGGGAGCAAACAG